CCCUUAGAUGUUCUGGGCCGCACGCGUGCUACACUGAGUGGAUCAGCGGGUCAGGUUGCGCGAAAGCGUUUCCUAAUCUUUAAAUCCGCUCGUGAUGGGGAUUGACGGUUGCAAUUUUCUGUCAUGAACGAGGAAUACCUUGUAAGCGCGGGUCAUCAUCCCGCGCUGAAUACGUCCCUGCCCUUUGUACACACCGCCCGUCGCUGCUACCGAUUGAGUGGUCCGGUGAAUUAUUCGGACCGGUGGACUGUGGGGAAACCCGCGGCCUGCUGGGAAGUCUUGUGAACCUUAUCACUUAGAGGAAGCAGAAGUCGCAACA
rnacentral:rRNA from 1 species